UUCCUCGUUAGCUGCUCCUUCAAGGAGCAGCUGCUCCUCGGCUCCUUCAAGGAACAGUUGCUCCUCGCUCGUGGCAAUUUCCGAGGCCGAGGAUGAUGCCCCCGCUUCUUAUUCGAUGGGUCCCUCCACAACCGGUGGCUACUCAGGCACCUCUUCAAUGCGAGCCUGAGGUUCCUAUCCAACACUUAUAAAAGUAAUUUAAAAAAACGGAAAAAUUCGGCAUGACCUAUGCUGUAAAACAAGAAAAUUUUGGCAUGACCAUUGCUGUAAAACAACAAAUGAGUCUACCCGAAUGUUAUACCUGCAUAAAAAAAACUCCCACCCACAUAUACCCCCUCGGCACGAUGGCCGGUCCCUUCUCAACGACUCGGCACGAUGGCCAGGCCCACAUUCCUCAUAUCAACCAACACGAUCGUCGGGAUCACAUCCAUGUAUCAUUAAACCAUAAACAGCAAUAACAUCAAUACUUAAACAUAAACAGCAAUAUAAACCCUAAAUAGCUAGAACUAAACAUAAACAACAAUAUUUAAACCCUAACUAAACAUAAACAACAACCCUAAUUUAAAAAAAACAUAAACCCUAAUUUAAAACCCUAAGCGUACCGGGGUCGCGACGGCCAGGGCG
rnacentral:lncRNA from 1 species